ACGACCGUACCACUUUGGAAACUAGUUCUCGUUCGAUCACCAAAGUUAGGCAACGUUGGUCCCGGUUGGUACUCACAUGAAUGACCUGUUGGAAACACGGUGUUACGUUC
rnacentral:rRNA from 1 species